UGGCAAUAUUGUAACAGAGACAAAUAGUGGGGUUUUUUUAAUAAGGAAUACAUUGAUUAUCAACAGAUUACAUUCCGUUGUUUGUCUCUUUUUCUUUUCAAUUCAUUGUAGAGGUGUUUGGCACAUUUGUCCUUUAAAACGCUGCUAUUUUGUAUUGUUCCAGGGCAUUCUUGGCUCAGGUUUUGCCUUAAAAGUACAGGAACAGCACCGCCAGAAGCAUUUUGAGAAAAGAAGGAACCCAGCUGCCAACCUCAUCCAGGUACCUGUCAGCAUAGUGGGCAGACGGCAACAUCUGCCUCCAGAACUGCUUCUCGUGUCGUUUUCCAAUCACUUUGCUUCAUCGCAUCCGAGGGCUAUUUACUAUUUCGUCCUAAAAGAAAAAAAAAAAAAGUCCAACUUUAAUGAACUGUCUUGAAUUUGGGCAGGUGUUGCCCCUUUCCCAAACAACAACAACAAC
rnacentral:lncRNA from 1 species